rnacentral:tRNA from 1 species
GGGACAGUAGCUCAGAGGUUAGGGCACUGGACUGACAAGUCCAGAGGGCUGGGUUCUGUUUCCACUGGCUUG